UAUUGAUGGACGGAGCCGACGCUAGAACAGGACUGGUGACCAUUGAGGAAUUUCCAUAUUUGGGCUCACUGCGUUCUCGCAAAAAGGAGUCUGAACUGGCUGGCAGUGGAUAUUUAUGUGGGGCGACUCUUAUUCGAAAUCGUGUGCUUGUCACAACUGCCGAAUGUGCGCAAGGAAAAAAUCCAAUGGAUAUAUUGGGUGUAGUAGGCGCUACGUACCUGCAAGGCCUAUCUACAACAUCCAAAGUACUGGAAAUCGAAUCUAUUAGAUGUCAUGGCUUGUAUAAACGUGGCAGACCGUCCUACAAUAUUGCACUCGCCUUCACUGCUGAAGAUACACUGCCCAUCAAAGGGAAACUUGGAUAUGUACCGAUUGCCAUGAAGA